GACUUGUCGCCUACUUCAAAAUUUUCCCCUCAAGUUUCAAAUCAAAACAAAACCCAACAAAAUCCUGGGUUAAACCCAAGAAAACCUUGGGUUUUGUUUUGAUUUUAAAUUGAAAACAAACACUAAAAAAUGAGUUGUGGGUUAGUACCCUGGGCAUCUGUUCUUUGUGAGUUAAUGACUCCAGAUCCUUGCUAUUCUAAAGCAGUAGAGAUGCAGAAAUGUUUAAAAGCAAAUCGUUAUCGUGAAGGUGUCUGCUUUGAGGCAAUUGCAGUAUUGGAGAAGUGCUGCACAAGAUGGAAAGAUCGCUCAUCAUGUUGUGUGAAAUAUGAAAGAUUGCGGCCACAAACAUCUGUCCAACCUAUGAAUAUAAAUGUUAGCCUAGAUCAUUAUAUCCUUAGUGAACUUCUUCUUGGCCACUAAUACUAGUUUUUUGAGUUUUGUUAACUGUGAUAAUAUGAAAGGUAUAAGCAUUUUACCCACCUUUUUAUUUGUUAGCUAAUAACCAAAUGCUCAUUUUAUAUCUUAAGCUAUAUAGUUGCAUUUGAUUUUUAAAAAAUCAACUGUAUAUUUUGAGGUGCCUUGUCUUUCAAAUGAUUGUAAAACAUCUUUAUUGAUUCUGUUGAACAUAUUUAUAUAUAUUAUAAAUUUUGUUUGAUGGUUGUCUUUAUUUAUUACAAAAUGUAUAUAUAGAUGCCCCGUGCAGAAUUAUAUUCUGCUUUUGGAUUUACAGGUUUAAAUCCCCUCUCCAAGCUUUUAUGAUUAAAAUUAAUAUUAUUUAUAAAAAGUAAAGUUAUCAAUGGAAGUAAAAUUUUUAAAAAUUCUGAUAUAAAAAUUGUUCACAUUUCCUUUAUAAAUAUAAUAUUAAGUAGUAAUAUCAUCAAUAAUAUAAAAUAAUAACAAAUUAGCAAUAUCAACUGUAUGUACCAUAUGUAUUAAAAUAUGAAUUUACUCUAAAAUGAAAUCCUGGUUUUAUCCCUUGUUUAGUUAGAUUAAAAUGAGUCUUUAUUUUUUCGAAAUUUCAGAAUUGAAAAGAAUGAUUGCUUUUAACAGGUUAAACACAGACUAUUUAAUGAUAACAAAAUAAUGUGAGCAAUAUUACGGAGUAAAAGUUCAAAGCUGCUGUGAGGUGGAGAGAUUUCUCAGGGCCCCUUAUUUUUUGGACUCUAGGGAGUUUUGCAAAAUUAUUUGAAAUAUUUUUUUAUAAAUCAAAGUUGAUUUUUUUUAAAAAAAAAUUUAGUUUUAGCAUUGAAAAUUAAGAAACUUAAUUUUCUCUUUCAAUCAUAAAGAUGUUCAUCGAGAAUUAUGGCUUCUGAUAAAGGUAUUGGUCUCCGCAUUAUUUGGGACCGAACUCGCGAGAAAACUAUUCAUGGAAAUCACAAUCAUUAAAUUUGAAAAUGAUAUGUAUUUAAGCAUUUUUAGAUGAUUAUCGAAAUGGGCCCUUUAUUGAAAAAUUCCAUACUUCUAAGGGCCCGGCACCUUAUAUAUUAAUAAUAAAAAUUGAAAAUGUAUACAAAAUUUGAAAAUAUAAUAUUAAUGGAUGAAAAAUGUUAAGCCUUUAUUUCUUAGGAAAAAUCAUAUAUCUUUCAAUUGCUCAUCCAAGGACCUAAUGAGGCUUCAAAUUAUCAGUAAAACCAUACUAAGGCGGAAAAAAAGUUUCGUAAUUGCAAAUAAAAAAUUCAAAAUUUUUGACACUGAAUCAUAGAAUAAAAAAUAUAUAUUUUAAUAUAUCUUUAUGAUUAAUCAGCUGAUACCCUUAAACGGAGAAUUCUUUAUCAUAAAGUCUCACAUCCGUUAUAUCAGUUAUAAUAAUUAAAUUAAAAUUUUUAAAUUUAGAAAAAUCAUUAAAGAAAGUUUCUAAGUAAGCUGCUUGUUUUAAGGAAUAAAAUUUGAAAAAAAUCGUAAAUCUUUUUUAAAAAUUUAAAUAAAAAUUAUCAGUUUUCUAAAUGAUAAAUUUUCUCAGGUGCCCGGAGCCAAAAAGAGAGAUUAUAGCAAUAAAAAAUUAUUGUCUCAGUGAAAUAUUAUAUGCACUUAAAAAGAUGUAUUUAAAAAUCCCAAACACAGAUUACUAGGGGUUCACAGUGAUUUGAGAUUCAAUGAUGAUUUCUCAUGUUCAUAAUGAUUUCUGAGAUUCAAUGUAUUAGUAUAAGUAUACUAGUCAACACGUUUUGUAUAAUAUAAUUUAUGACAUUUUCCAAAUUUAAUUUUAUGUCAAGUGUGUGGUAAUCAUUUGAAAAUUUGAUGCAUUUUAAUUAGACCAAAACAUCCAAUCCCUCUGUUUUUAACAAAAUAUUAUAAAUUAAAUUAAGUAUGAAGCAACUAUGAAAAUGUAUUAAACAUUUUUAAAUUUUUAAUGAAUAUUAAAUUUCUUUCAUUUUAAUUGAUUUUGCCCAGUUCUAAUUAAAGAAAUAUUUGUGAAUGCAAGCAAACACAAAAUUUAAUCGCUUUUUUUUUAGAAAAGGAACAUCUAAAACGCACCAGAAAAAUAUUUGUAAAUAAACAAAAAAAUAUGUAUCUUAUUAGAGAUAGAACCUAAUGCCUGCUAGAAUCUGGAGAAAUCCAAAAUGAUAUGUUCUUCAUUUGAAAAUGUUAUUCUCAAAUAAUAUAUACAUAGAUUAUCCUUUCAUUACUUUAAGAUGACAUACCACACAAUAAAAUUUUAAUAUUGUAAGAUCGUGUUAUGAAUUUUAAUAGUUUAUAAGCAACGAGCUUAUGUAACUUAAAAAUAGAAUAGCUGAAUUCUAGUUGAAAUUAAGCAGUCAAAAUGAAAAAAUACUCGCCAAGAAACGAUAAAAAUGCAUUAAUAAUCAACACAAAUUAUGCUAUUUCAAGUAAUUUAGAUUAUUCUUUAUUGCUGUUUUCCGUAUUAUAUAGAUGCAGAAAUAUAUAUUACUGUUCUAUAAAGAAGAACGUCCGGUGGCUGAGUGGUAGCUCUUUGUGCUCCCGUACCACAGGUACUGGGUUCGAUCCUCCCUCCGGGCAAGGUCGACUCAGCCUUUCAUCCCUUCAAUGGGUCGUUAAAUGAGUACCGAGCAUGCUUGGGAACUAAACAAUGGGGGUUUUCACGUUCGGCUGACCACCUAACCAGAACAUCUGCUCCUGCACCCCAGAGCCCAAGGUCAAGAAAACUGAGAUGGGCACAGUAGGCCUUAGCCCUCUAUGGGCUGUCACGUUUAGUUUAGUUUAAAGAAGAAUAUUCUAUAACUAUUACAGUUCUGCACGUUCUGAAAUCACAUUUAUUCAUUAGAAUGAAGUAAGCAAUAUGGAAUUUAAUAACUUCCCUUUAAUUUAUAAUGAAUUGUAGACAAACCAAAUGUAUUUUACUUUAAUACGCACAUCUUUAACAUUGGGAAAUUGUUCUUCAAAUGUUGGUAGCGUUCUGUUUCUGAAUGAUUUACCAAUGUUCUGGGUCAUUUUUUCAAGUUCUGCUGUUUCCUUAGUGAAAUUUUGUUACUAAAAAGAAACCUUUUCCUAAACCAAUGAUUCUGAUAGAACUAAAUCGAAACUUGAUAAAUAAAAGCCUGAAAAUAUCUUCCCGCUAGAGGGCGUAUUCAAGCGUUGCAAUCGCGAAUUACAUUUUAUAAUAUAUAUUAUACUUGUUUGAAUGAUUAUACAACCAUUGUUUAACUGAAGAAGAACAUUGUUUGUUAGCAGACAGUUAUAUGCUGCUUAAUUUGAUGUUUUCAUGCAUCUUGAAAAAUAAGAAGUGGUAGCAAAAUAAAAUUAUACAGAGAAAAAUUAUAACUUAGCUUUGAUUGCCUUUAAGAAAUAAAGUGUUAUUUAGAAGAAGAAAUUAUCCACCUAUUGUAAGUUUGCUACCAUUUUAUUUUUUUAUCUUAUUGCUUUAUUGCAGUCUAACAAUAAAGUUCUAAAAGGGCCUGCAGAAACUGGCAAAAGCUCUAUAAAUAUUUGUUUGAAAAUUAUCAGAGAUAGAGCUAUGUGAGAGAAUUUUUCAAGAGAGUGUCUUAAGAAUGGCAUUUAUUAGCAUACAAAAAAGGGGAGAACACCCUCUACUGUAAGCUAUUAACAUAAAUAUAACUAUGUAGUUAGAGCUGAAUGGAAUAUUUUCACUUGUUUUAAAAAUUUCAUAAGGCUGGUUCUUAUACAAUCAUCUCAAUUUAGUUAAAAUUAAUUUAAAGAAUAUAGAAUAUUGCAUUGUUAAAAAAGUCAUAAAAUGAAUUAUAAUUGAGAUGCCUCUAAAACAUUCAAUAACUUAUUAAAUUCUGUUGAAACUAUUUUUUUAAACUUUAAAAAAAAUAUGAUUUCUUUAGGAUAAUUUUAUUUUACAAUCAAAUCAAGUGUUUGAGAAUUUAAUUAGAAUUUUUUCUCUAUAAAUUAUCUUUAUAAUAUUUUGUUAUAAGAAGUACCCCAAUUUAACUUAUCUUUUAAAUGCUUUUUAUAUUCAGUUUUAUAUAGAAAGAGCUAUUAGAGAAAUUGUGUAAAACAGCACUGUUCCUCCUAACUCCAACGCUAUCUGUUCUUCACAGUGCAUGUAUAAAAAUGUCAAUAAUAAUAGCAAUAUUGCUAAGGUGUAGAAGAUAAGGUUGAUGUUAAGGUCAACAUAAGAAUAACGCUAUUCAAAAUCUUCCAAUCGUUACUUCAGUAAUACUGUGCAGAUAAUCAAAAAGGUACUUUAUUAAUUCAUGUAGUAAUAUGAAUACAACCAUGUAGCUUUAGUAUCUUAAUUUCUUUAAAAGAAAUUAGAAUCUUAUACAACAUAUUAUUCAAAAUUAUUUUAAGGAAUAAGGAAAAUGUCAUAAUUAAGAUUAUAUUUGUUUUUGGAUACCAAUAUUCAAAGACAAAUAUAUAAAAACAAAUAUAUAUAUUAAAAAAACAAUACAGCAUAAAAAAGUAUUGCUGAAAUAUUUGUAAAAUCUUCAGCUGUUUAUGAAAUUUUAUUGUAAAAAAAUUUUAAUUAAUAAAUUGAAGAAAAUAAACAUGAUUUCUGAAACAAUUAUUGUAUGUUAAUAGCAAACAGAGCAUUCCAAUAUUUACAUUCAAUUUCAAGCCUCUCAAUAAUUUUCAUUUCUUAUAAUGUACUGCCGAAGCAAGUAUAUUUAUAUAGUAAUUUCCUUUUUAUAUUAAAUUUAUAAAUAAUAAAGUUAUUGUAACCUCAACUAAACUCAUUUUUCAUAUUGCUUGUAAAAUUGUGUAAUCCUGAAUGAAUUUUUUGUAACAUAUCAAUAUGUUCUAUUGAAAUAAACUCUUCAAACAUAAAA
rnacentral:lncRNA from 1 species